rnacentral:rRNA from 1 species
CCUACGGGUGGCUGCAGUGGGGAAUUUUGCGCAAUGCUCGUAAGAGUGACGCAGCGACGCCGCGUGAAGGACGAAGGCCUUCGGGUCGUAAAGUUCUUUCGACAGGGAAGAAAAUGCCUAUAAGUAACUGUGUAUGUAUUGACGGUAUCUGUAUAAGCAGCCCCGGUUAACUCCGUGCAAGCAGCCGCGGUAGUACGGAGGGGGCGUGGGUUGUUCGGAGUGGCUGGGGGAAAGGGAACGUAGGCGGUGUUGGAAGUCAUUAGUCAAAGACCCGGGCUCAACUUUAGUAAGGCUAGUGAUACUAUAAUACUAGAGUAUCAGAGAGGAAUGCAGAAUUCCUGGUGUAGCGGUGAAAUGCGUAGAUAUCAGGAGGAAUACCGUUAGCGAAGGCGGCAAUCUGGCUGGAAACUGACGCUGAGGUGCGAAAGCGUGGGUAGCAAACAGGAUUAGAUACCCCUGUAGUC